CAAGUCGAACGAGACCUUCGGGUCUAGUGGCGCACGGGUGCGUAACGCGUGGGAAUCUGCCCUCUGGUCNGAAUAACUCAGGGAAACUUGAGCUAAUACCGUAUAAUGACUUCGGUCCAAAGAUUUAUCGCCUGAGGAUGAGCCCGCGUCGGAUUAGCUAGUUGGUGAGGUAAAAGCUCACCAAGGCGACGAUCCGUAGCUGGUCUGAGAGGAUGAUCAGCCACACUGGGACUGAGACACGGCCCAGACUCCUACGGGAGGCAGCAGUGGGGAAUAUUGGACAAUGGGCGAAAGCCUGAUCCAGCAAUGCCGCGUGAGUGAUGAAGGCCUUAGGGUUGUAAAGCUCUUUUACCCGGGAUGAUAAUGACAGUACCGGGAGAAUAAGCCCCGGCUAACUCCGUGCCAGCAGCCGCGGUAAUACGGAGGGGGCUAGCGUUGUUCGGAAUUACUGGGCGUAAAGCGCACGUAGGCGGCUUUGUAAGUUAGAGGUGAAAGCCCGGGGCUCAACUCCGGAAUUGCCUUUAAGACUGCAUCGCUAGAAUUGUGGAGAGGUAAGUGGAAUUCCGAGUGUAGAGGUGAAAUUCGUAGAUAUUCGGAAGAACACCAGUGGCGAAGGCGACUUACUGGACACAUAUUGACGCUGAGGUGCGAAAGCGUGGGGAGCAAAACAGGAUUAGAUACCCUGGUAGUCCACGCCGUAAACGAUGAUGACUAGCUGUCCGGGCACUUAGUGCUUGGGUGGCGCAGCUAACGCGUUAAUUCAUCCGCCUGGGGAGUACGGCC
rnacentral:rRNA from 1 species